UACAGAGGGUGCGAGCGUUUAAUCGGAAUUACUGGGACGUAAAGCGCGCGUAGGCGGCUUUGCAAGUCGGGUGUGAAAUCCCCAGGCUUAACCUGGGGAACUGCAUUCGAGACUGCAUUGCUAGAGUAUGGGAGAGGGAAGUGGAAUUUCCGGUGUAGCGGUGAAAUGCGUAGAUAUCGGAAGGAACAUCAGUGGCGAAAGCGACUUCCUGGACCAAUACUGACGUCAUGUGCGAAAGCGUGGGGAGCAAACAGG
rnacentral:rRNA from 1 species